rnacentral:lncRNA from 1 species
GCACUGACUGGGACGUUUUCAGGACUGCUACCAACAGUCUGGACGAGUAUACAGAGGCUGUGACGUCAUACAUCAGCUUCUGUGAAGAUUGCUGUGUCCCAUCAUGCACCAGGGUGAGUUAUAACAAUGACAAACCCUGGUUCACAGCCAAACUCAGACGGCUAAGGCGGGCUAAGGAGGAGGCCUUCAGGAGUGGGGAUAAAGACAGAUUCAGAGAGGCAAAAUACAAGUUUAGUAAAGCGGUGAGAGAGGCUAAACAAUUGUAUUCUGAGAAGUUACAACACCAGUUCUCAGCCAAUGACUCUGCAACUGUCUGGAGGGGGCUCAGGCAGAUCACCAACUACAAACCUAAAGCCCUCCACUCCAUCAACGACCGACACCUCGCCAACGCUCUUAACGAGUUUUACUGUCGGUUUGACAGACAAAGGGACAGUUCUGCCACCACCCAUCAGCUCCAGUCACCUACUUCAAUUUCCACCCUAACAGCUCCAUCCCCUCCAGUAACGACUCUUUCCAUCCAUGAAAGAGACGUAAACAAACUCUUCAAGAGACAGAAUCCCCGGAAAGCAGCUGGACCGGAUUCUGUCUCCCCGUCUACCUUGAAGCACUGUGCUGAUCAGCUGUCUCCAGUCUUCACAGCCAUUUUUAACACCUCACUGGAGACCUGUCACGUGCCAGCCUGCUUCAAGUCUUCAACCAUCAUCCCUGUCCCCAAGAAGCCGAGGACCACAGGACUGAAUGACUUCAGACCCGUCGCCCUGACCUCUGUGGUCAUGAAGACCUUUGAACGCCUCGUGCUUUCACACCUCAAAGCCAUGACAGACCCUCUUCUGGAUCCCCUGCAGUUUGCCUACAGAGCCAACAGGUCAGUUGACGACGCCGUCAAUCUGGGCCUUCACUUCAUCCUCCAGCAUCUGGACUCUGCAGGGACCUAUGCCAGGAUCCUGUUUGUGGAUUUCAGCUCUGCCUUUAACACCAUCAUCCCGUCUCUGCUUCAGGAGAAGCUUUCCAUGCUGAACGUUCCUGGCUCCAUCUGCAGGUGGAUCACAGACUUCCUGUCUGACAGGAAACAGUGUGUGAAGCUGGGGAAACAGAUCUCGGACUCACAGACCAUCAGCACUGGAUCUCCUCAGGGCUGUGUUCUUUCUCCUCUGCUCUUCUCCCUGUACACUAACAGCUGCACCUCCAGUCACCCGUCUGUCAAACUCCUGAAGUUUGCAGACGAUACCACCCUAAUCGGCCUCAUCUCUGAUGGCGACGAGUCUGCGUACAGGUGUGAGGUCGACCGUCUGGUAACCU